UGUUGGUAGGGUAAUGGCCUACCAAGGCCAUGAUCAGUAGCUGGUUUGAGAGAAUGAUCAGCCACACUGGGACUGAGACACGGCCCAGACUCCUCCGGGAGGCAGCAGUGAGGAAUUUUCCGCAAUGGGCGAAAGCCUGACGGAGCAAUACCGCGUGAGGGAUUAAGGAUUUUGGUCUGUAAACCUCUUUUUUCAAGAAAGAAGUUCUGACGGUACUUGAAGAAUAAGCAUCGGCUAACUCCGUGCCAGCAGCCGCGGUAAUACGGGGGAUGCAAGCGUUAUUCGGAAUUAUUGGGCGUAAAGCGCCUGUAGGUGGCUUAAUAAGUCUUUUGUUAAAGGUUAGGGCUCAACCCUAGAAAAGCAAUGGAAACUGUUAAGCUUGAGUAUGGUAGGGGUAGAGGGAAUUUCUAGUGUAGCGGUGAAAUGCGUAGAUAUUAGAAAGAACACCGGUGGCGAAAGCGCUCUACUGGACCAUUACUGACACUCAGAGGCGAAAGCUAGGGGAGCAAAAGGGAUUAGAUACCCCUGUAGUCCUAGCCGUAAACGAUGGAUACUAGAUGUUGGAUUGUAUAGACAGUAUCGUAGCUAACGCGUUAAGUAUCCCGCCUGGGGAGUACGCUCGCAAGGGUGAAACUCAAAGGAAUUGACGGGGGCCCGCACAAGCAGUGGAGCAUGUGGUUUAAUUCGAUGCAACGCGAAGAACCUUACCAGGGCUUGACAUACUACAAAUCUUUUAGAGAUAGAAGAGUGCUUUCGAGAAUGUAGAUACAGGUGGUGCAUGGCUGUCGUCAGCUCGUGUCGUGAGAUGUUGGGUUAAGUCCCGCAACGAGCGCAACCCUCGUUUUUAGUUGCCAAUUUAUUGGUUUUUUUAGAAAGACUGCCGGUGACAAACCGGAGGAAGGUGAGGAUGACGUCAA
rnacentral:rRNA from 1 species